rnacentral:misc_RNA from 1 species
UUACAUAUUUAUUUCACCAAAACCAGCUAUGCUGUUAGCCCCUUGCAAAAACAUAUUGAACCUCCACCCAUUAUUUUGGCAAAUAAAACCUCUUGAACUUCGUAUUCAGAAAUGACUAGUUUCACUACUGAAAAUGUUGCGAGAAAACAGAUAGAACUUCCCUGUAAACGGGCUUCUUGAAAUCCACUGCAAGUUCAAUAACUUGCUCCGGUGAUAUCCACAACCAUUCUCCGAACUCGGCUUUCUCUGUCCCAUCCCCAAGAAGGUUGAUCUCUUCAUCCUUUCCAGUGAACUUAAAUAAGAACCACUUUUGUGCUUGGCCUUUCCAGUCAGAUCCCCAUUGAUGCCUUAGCUUUUCUCUAACUUCUGGAGGGAAAUCAUACGUUACCCAAUGAGGAACCUCAGCAACAAUUUCUGCUGAAGUAACUCCAGUUUCCUCUCUUAGUUCCCUGAUGGCAGCAUUUGUUGGAUCUUCAUUGUCAUCAACUCCACCCUGCGGCAUUUGCCAAGCACUAGGUAUAUCAAGCCUUGAAGCAGCAAAAAUCUUUUUAUUAGAAGGAUUCAUUAGACAAAUGCCGACGUUUCUCCGAUAACCUUCAGGUGGGUUCUCCAUGGUUGAUGACGGCGGUGGCGAUGGCAGUGAGGCAAAGGAAGCUGUUUUGCUGCGAAGAACGAGUGGCAAAG